rnacentral:rRNA from 1 species
AUUGAACGCUGGCGGCAUGCUUUACACAUGCAAGUCGGACGGCAGCACAGAGAAGCUUGCUUCUUGGGUGGCGAGUGGCGAACGGGUGAGUAAUGCAUCGGAACGUACCGAAUAGUGGGGGAUAACUUACCGAAAGGUAAGCUAAUACCGCAUAUUUCUCUGAGGAGGAAAGCUGGGGACCUUAGGGCCUGGCGCUAUUUGAGCGGCGGAUGUCUGAUUAGCUAGUUGGUGGGGUAAAGGCCUACCAAGGCGACGAUCAGUAGCGGGUCUGAGAGGAUGAUCCGCCACACUGGGACUGAGACACGGCCCAGACUCCUACGGGAGGCAGCAGUGGGGAAUUUUGGACAAUGGGCGCAAGCCUGAUCCAGCCAUGCCGCGUGUCUGAAGAAGGCCUUCGGGUUGUAAAGGACUUUUGUCAGGGAAGAAAAGGUUGGUGUCAAUAGCAUCAACUGAUGACGGUACCUGAAGAAUAAGCACCGGCUAACUACGUGCCAGCCGCCGCGGUAAAAC